ACGGAUAAUACAGAUAGGCUCUUGAACCAAAAUCGGUGGUGGACAAGUUUUGUGUGUUAAAUGCCAGACGUGGGUCAUUUGGGAGUAUGAUGUGCAGUUCUGGUGUCCCUGUUACAGGAAGGAUGUGGAAGUUUUGUAGAGUGUGCAGAAGAGGUUUACCAGAUUACUUCCUGAAUUAGAGGGUAUUAACUGUAAGGAGAGGUUGCACAGACUUAGAUUGUUUUCUUUGGAGCAUCGGAGGCUGAGGCGAGAUCCAAUAAAAUAACAGAUUAUAUGUUAAAUGAGAGAUAAUCUUUUCUUUUUGCAGAAUAUGACUCAGGUGUAAACAUUGGCCUGUGAUUUAUGGAGUAAUUUUGGGAAACACAGUGGCGCAGCUGGUAGAGCCGUGCCUCAUAGCACCAGAGACAUAGGUUUGAUUCUGAAUUCGAUUGCUGUCUGUGUGGAGUUGGCAUGUUUUCCAUGUGACCACAAAUUUAGUUUAUACACAGUGUGGAAAGAGGCCCCUUGUCCCACUGAAUCCACACUGACCAUCGAUCACCCGUUCACACUAGUUUAGUUUAGUUAUUAGUUUAGAGAUACAUCAUGGAAACAGGGCCUUUGGUGCACUGAUGUACAGCGAUCCCUGUACAUUUGGACUAUUCUACACACAAGAACAAUUUAAAAUGUUUAACAAGCCAAUUAGUCUGUAAACCUGUACGUCUUUGGGAUGUGGGAGGAAAUGUGUAGGGACUGCCUGCAUCCAGAUACAACCCACGGGGUCACCGGGAGAACAUACAAACUCCAAACAGUCAGCAACCAUAGUCAGGAUCGAACCCAGGUCUCUAUCACUCUACCGCUGCGCUACUGAGCUGCCCAGAUUCUAUGUUAUCCACCUCAUCUAAUCCCUACACAUUAGGGGGAAUUUUACAGAGGGCCAAUUAACCUAAAAACCUGUUCAGCCUUGGGAAGUGGGAGGAAACCAGAGCACCUGGAGGAAACCCACGAGGUUUAGUUUAGUUCAGUUUAGUGAUACAUCACGGAAACAGGCCCUUUGGCCCACUAAGUCCAUGCUGACCAACGAUCCCCGCACACCAACACUAUCCUCCACACACCUAGGACAAUUUCCAAUUUUACCCUAAGACAUUUAACCUACAAACCUGUACGUCUUUGGAGUGUGGGAGGAAACAGGGAGAAAACGCACGUGGUCACAGAGAGAAUGUACAAACUCCAUACAGACAGCAGCCGUAGUCAGGAUCAAACCUGGGUCUCUGGUGCUCUGGUACCUUGGCACACGUAGCAAUAAUGACUGAAAGUAAAAUAAAAUAAACAGAAUUGAAAACAUUUGAAGAGAAAAGAUGAAUCAGCUUGUGCUGCACGGUGGUGCAGCAGUAGUGCUGCUGCCUCAAAGCGCCAGAGACACAGGUUCUAUCCUGACCUCGGCUGCUGACUGUAUGGAGUUUGCACGUUCUCCCUAUGACCACGUGAGUUUUCUCCGGUUUCUCUGGUUUCCUCCCGUAUUCCAAAGACGUGCAGGUUUGUAGAUUAAUUGGCUGCUGUAAAUUGUCCCUGGUGUACUGGUGAUCAUUGGUCCGGCAGAGACUUGGUGGGCCGAAGGGCUUGUUUUUAUAUUGUAUCUCUAAACUAAACUAAACUAAUGAGACCUGAUCUCACACAGGGAAGUGCAAAAGUGUCACUAAUCUAGGUCUGAGCACAGAUGUUCCUAUGGCUAACAUACUUAACCAAGGUAAUAUGGUUCAUACAGAGGCAAAGGCCAUUCAGCCCACUGUUUAUUUAAAAGACAUUAGACAUGGGGCAGUAUGGUGGUGCAGUGGUGGAUUUGCUGCCUUACAGCGCCAGAGACCCGGGUUCGAUUCUGACUACAGUGCUGUCUGCACUGAGUUUGUACAUUCGCGCCGUGACCACGUGGGUUUUCUCCGGGUGCUCCGGUUCCCUCCCACACUCCAAAGACGUGCAGGUUUGUAGGUUAAUUGGUUUUGGAAAAACUGUAAAUUGCCUCUAUGUGUAGGAUAGUGCUCGUGUGCGGGGAUCGCUGGUAGGUGCGGACUCAGGGGGCCGAAGGGCCUCUUUCCACGCUGUAUCUCUAAAAACCAAAACUAAAACAAAACAUUUGGACAGGUACAUGGAUGGGAUAGGGAUAGGAUUCGAGGGCUAUGGGUCCUUGUGUAUGGAUAGACGAAGAGUAGGGGUAGAUACAAAAAGCUGGAGUAACUUGGCGGGACAGGUAGCAUCUCUGGAGAGAAGGAAUGGGUGACGUUUUGGGUCGAGACCCUUCCCCGGGGUCUAUCUUCUUUGUGUCUAUCUUCAGUUUAACCAAGCAUCUGCUGUUCCUUCCUAUACAGGAGUAAGGAUGAUCGCUGGUCGGCGCGGACUCGAUGGGCCGAAGGGUCUGUUUCUGUGCUGUAUUUCUAAAACUAAAACUAAAUCUAAACUAAAGAUAGCUAAAUUAUCCCCCACCCCCCUCACUGGAUUGAAGGAGGCCAGAGGGUUACAAAUACUGGAGAAGCAGCUUUAAGAACAUAAGGAAAGGCACCAAGAGGGCCGGUUGCUCCCCUUGGACCACUGCUCCUCCUCCUAAUGCUUUCUACCUGCACUGAGCGGUCUUACACUGAGCUGCCAGAGGCCUGAUGUGAGUCACUGAGUCACUGCCGCCGUGGUUCAAGGUACUGCAGGGGUAGUGGGUAUGCCAGACGCACAGGAGGUCUGCUUGAACUUGCGAGCGAUGCACUGAUAAGGCGAGGAAUGAGUUAGUGCUGCACCGUACAGCAUUCGCAGAGCACAUAUACAGAGUCUGCCCAAUGCAGCAACGUCCAGAAUCAGCGGGCAGGAAGCCAAGUCUGGCAUCCAGCUGCUCAAUCUUGAGCAAGAUUGGAAUUUUAAAAGUAAAACCUCAGAGAGGAGAAGAAAGUAAUAUUCUGCAGUGUGUUGAACAAAAUAUCCGGUGGGUCAGUCCUUACCGAAGGCAUUUGGAAAGUUAACAAUAAGAUACCACAAGCUGCCACAGUGAGGGGAAUGUGCAUUAAAUAACCAGGACUCUGAGCCAAAUGACAAAUUCAAGUCUAGGCAAAUCCUUGUGGCCUUAAGCCUAAACACUCUUUUAACAGAUGGUUUACAUCUUCCUCUUAAGAGAACAGGAAACUGAGCGACCAACUAGGCUGCCUGACCUGCUGAGUUCCUCCAGCACUUUGUGCUUUGCUCAAGAUUCCAGCAUCUGCAGUUCCUCAUGUUUCUGUAUUUUGGUUUUGUUUUAAUUUAUUAAACUGUUGGGCACGUUGGCCUUCAUCAGUCAGAGUGUGGGGGUUGGGAGGUCAUUUUGGAAUUAUAUAAAAAGUUGAUGAGCCGAAACGUCACCCAUCCCUUUUCUCCGGAGAUGCCGCUUGACCCGCUGAGUUACUCCAGCACUUUGUGUCUGUCUUUAGAAAUUGCAGAGAGUUGUCCAUGUAGCCCAGUCUAUCACACAGACCAGACUCCCCGCCUUUGAAUCCAUCUAUACUUUGCGCUACCCCGGAAAAGCAGCCAACAUAAUCAAAGACUAGUCCCACCCCGGUCAUUCCUUUUUCCCCCCCACUCCCAUUAGGCAGAAAAUACAGAAGCUUGGACGGUGGGCAGGUGCUAUAGACCUGCACGAGAAGGUAGACGCUCCCGCCCCCCACGAGUCUCGGGCAGAUGGGGCUCGUCAGCCUGGGAAGGCAGUCCAUCUAGGAGAGGGAAAACUCAGAUUUAAAACCUCCACUGCCUUGUGGCCAUAUCCAGUCAAGGCAAAGUCUCCAGGAGUAAACCUCAAGAAAAUGCCGAGUCGGAGCCCCUAAGGCAAUUCGUCGUUGUCUACAACCUCGCUCUGGCAGCUCCUGCGACGGUGCUGGUGCCAAACUGUAACGGCCCUGCUGUUCCUUUGGAUCGAUCAGCGACGUGGAGAGGGGGGAUGUGCUGCAUGGGCAACAGCCUGUCCUCCAUAUGACAUCGCCCAGGCUUGCAUCCGACCAGGAUGCAUCACCCAUGGUCAGUCAUGACCGAGGGGGGCCUACAGAAACUUGAACGUGCGUACCACCAGACUCUGGAACAGCUUCUUCCCCUCUGUUACCAGGCUACUGAACGGUCCUUCCGUAAGCUAGGAUACUGUCUGAUUCACCUCCUCCCCAUUGUGGACAUUGGAACAGAUGCGCUACACUGCUGAGAACUAUUUUUCUGCACAGCUUUAUAUUUCCCUAUUGUACUUGAGUUUGAAGUGAUUGUAUUAUCUCAUCGAUUUGGACAGUGGGCCAUCCAAAGGGUUGACUGUACCUCGUUACACUUGACAAUAAUAAACCCGAACAUGGAC